rnacentral:rRNA from 1 species
AUUGAACGCUGGCGGCAGGCCUAACACAUGCAAGUCGAGCGGGGUUUUCGGACCUAGCGGCGGACGGGUGAGUAAUGCGUAGGAAGCUACCCGAUAGAGGGGGAUACCAGUUGGAAACGACUGUUAAUACCGCAUAAUGUCUACGGACCAAAGUGUGGGACCUUCGGGCCACAUGCUAUCGGAUGCGCCUACGUGGGAUUAGCUAGUUGGUGGGGUAAUGGCUCACCAAGGCGACGAUCCCUAGCUGGUUUGAGAGGAUGAUCAGCCACACUGGAACUGAGACACGGUCCAGACUCCUACGGGAGGCAGCAGUGGGGAAUAUUGGACAAUGGGCGCAAGCCUGAUCCAGCCAUGCCGCGUGUGUGAAGAAGGCCUUCGGGUUGUAAAGCACUUUCAGUAGGGAGGAAGAGUUGAGUGUUAAUAGUACUCAGCUUUGACGUUACCUACAGAAGAGGCACCGGCUAACUCUGUGCCAGCCGCCGCCGUAACAC